AUUGAACGCUAGCGGGAUGCUUUACACAUGCAAGUCGAACGGCAGCGCGGACUUCGGUCUGGCGGCGAGUGGCGAACGGGUGAGUAAUAUAUCGGAACGUGCCCAGUAGCGGGGGAUAACUACGCGAAAGCGUAGCUAAUACCGCAUACGCCCUACGGGGGAAAGCAGGGGAUCGUAAGACCUUGCACUAUUGGAGCGGCCGAUAUCGGAUUAGCUAGUUGGUGAGGUAACGGCUCGCCAAGGCGACGAUCCGUAGCUGGUUUGAGAGGACGACCAGCCACACUGGGACUGAGACACGGCCCAGACUCCUACGGGAGGCAGCAGUGGGGAAUUUUGGACAAUGGGGGCAACCCUGAUCCAGCCAUCCCGCGUGUGCGAUGAAGGCCUUCGGGUUGUAAAGCACUUUUGGCAGGAAAGAAACGUCGCGGGCUAAUACCCCGUGGAACUGACGGUACCUGCAGAAUAAGCACCGGCUAACUACGUG
rnacentral:rRNA from 1 species